rnacentral:rRNA from 1 species
UCACGAGGUAGCAAUACUUUGGUGGCGACCGGCGCACGGGUGCGUAACGCGUAUGCAACUUGCCUAUCAGGAGGGGGAUAACCCGGCGAAAGUCGGACUAAUACCGCAUGAAGCAGGGGCCCCGCAUGGUGAGAUUGCAUGAUAGCACCAUUAAAGAUUUAUUGGUAAACGAUGGGGAUGCGUUCCAUUAGGUAGUAGGCGGGGUAACGGCCCACCAAGCCUUCGAUGGAUAGGGGUUCUGAGAGGAAGGUCCCCACAUUGGAACUGAGACACGGUCCAAACUCC